ACUGAACAGUGCUGAUCUUGACCGUGGCUGGUAAGAACAACCCUCAAACUGUGGUUGUUAAACUGAGCUGAACUGAGUUGGCUGGACCCUUGCUAUGGCACGUCCUUCCCUCAGGUUGGUAGGGAGCCCCCCCCCACACACCCCCGAGUCUGGAUCCCCCAGGUCUGUGCCUUUGGACAGCCCCGGGGGAGCCAGCCUGGGAAGGCUGAUUGAAGACGAUGAAUCAACACACAGAACCAUGUUAAUUUUUUUAAACAAAUGAAUGAAAUUUUCAAAAUCGAGGCAGCCCCCAGCAAAAGGUGAGAAGCCGUUGGAGGCUUCUGUGGCAAGGUGACCUUCCAAGGAGGCUUGCGGAAGCGAGGCGCACAGAAAGGCAGGCUGGCAAGCACAGCCCUCCUCCGCCCACUUACAUAAAGGCCGCUGCAAAACGCAGAGCGGUAUUUUAAGUGCAUCGAAGGUCGUGGAGUGAAAACCGAGAGGCCUUGAAACGGAGACGUGUUUGCUUUCUUAACGGCAGCAGGCGUCGCCUCUCCCUUUGGCCAGCAGAGCUGCCGGAGGGAGGGUGGCCCGGAGGCCGGGGAGGCAGUGCCAGGCUUGGGAAGGCGCUUGUGAUCAGAACUCCAGGUCUGUUCUGGGAGGAAGCAGCUGCCAUUGGGGUCUGCUGUCCUGCUGAGGUCUCUCUCUCUCUCUGCUGGCUUUCUUUUUUUUUUUUUUUCUUUCAAUUAUUUUUAAUUUUACUGAUGUAGAGUCGAUUUACAAUGUUGUAUUAAUUUCUCCAGCAGCAAAGUGACUCCGUCAUACACGUGUAUACCUUUGUGUUCAUGUUCUUUUCCAUGGUGAUUAAUCUGAGCUGAUGGAAUCCGGUUCCCCGUGCUCUACAGGAGGACCUUGUUACUUACUCAUCCUAUGUGCAACAGCUUACAUCUGCUAACCCCAGACUCCCAACCCUGCCCUCCCUGCCCCCGACCCUUGGCAACCACAAGUCUGUCCUCUAGGUCUGUGUCUGUCUCUCGGUUUGGAGCCCUGAGGCACACGGUCAGAUUUAAGAAACUUGGGUUCUCGUACCGUGGCCUCAACUUGUUCUGGCAUCUUGAUUCGGCCCCUCGCCUCUCAGUGCCGUGGCUUAAAAGCUCUUUCCUCUGCCUUCUGAGGGUUUGGGAGGAUGAGUGAUAAGAAGAUGAAAGGGAGUGAGCUUUUCUAGGUAUAUGCGAGGUCCUAGAUGGAGUGUUACCAUCGGUCAAGCUGGAAAACACUGAACCCAUUGGAGAGAAUCCCCGGCUCAUUGCAUUCCGGUCAAUGGCAGGGCUCAGGGUUAAGUAAUGACGUGCGGGAUUAUUGUCGAUUUCACCCAUCCAAGUCCUGGUCCCCUUCCUGGCCAGGCGUACCUGUGAGCUGGAUGUUAAUGUCAGCAUCCCACAGAGGAGAAGGCUGACGCUCAAACGGUCCCCACAGGUAAGGAGCAGAGCUGGAAUCUGAACCUCUGUGUGUUUUGUGAUCUUUUCCUCAUGCCCCUACCAAAAGCCAGCUGCCCCGAGGCUGUGAUCUGUUCUAGGUUCAGUUUUCAUUCAGCAACUAUCUUUCCCAGCCUGGUUUUAUUUGGCCCAAGAACUAGUCUGAUGAGAGAGCAGAUGCUAAAUGAUGAUCCUUAACACGUAACCAUUCAGUUGCAGCUCUGCCUGGAGAAGUGACCUGGACAGGGGCUUUUGUUGUUUUGUUUUGUUUUGUUUGUGUUUUUUUUUUUUUUUUCCUUUGGGCCCAUUUCACGAAUGGCUAACCCAAGGCUCAGCACGGGCAAGGGGUAGGUUCAAGCUCGCACGGGGAGUGUAACCUCCGUGUGUACCCCCUGACCGGCCAGGCUAAGUGUCUGGAAUCUUGGGUGGUGACCGUUAGGAGGCGGUGUCCCUUUGCUCUGCAGGUUUGCAGUUUGGAUGGGCACCAGACCCAAGCGGAGGAUCUGGCCCUUUUCAGGCUGCCCUUGGGGCUGUGGGGAGGGGCAGGGCUGCUGUCUGCAGGGCCGGCCUUCCUCUGUCUCUAGUGAGCGCCAUCUGGGCCUGCCAGCAUGUCAUGUGGUGGCAGUGGCAUCCUAUUCUCCCUUGCUCUCAUAGGUGUGGUCUCUCCAUGGUCUGAGGACCCAUUGCUUGGGAUUGCUGUGGCUUAAAAGAAAACGCAGGAGGAGCUCCCGUCAUGGCUCAGCGGUUGAUGAUCCCGACUAGCAUCCAUGAGGACGUGGGUUCGAUCCCUGGCCUCUCUCAGCGGGUUAAGGAGCUGGUGUUGCUGUGAGCUGUGGUGUAGGUCACAGACUCAGCUCAAAUCCCAUGUUGUUUUGGCUCUGGUGUAGGCGGGUGGCUAUAGCUCCAACUGGACCCCAAGCCUGGAAAGCUCCACAUGCUGUGGGUGUGGCCCUAAAAAGAAAAAAAAAAAAAAAAAGCAAACACAGGAGGGAGUUCCCGUUGUGGCUCAGUAGGUUAAGAACCCAACACUGUCGAUGUGAGGAUUCGGGUUUGAUCCCUGGCCCUGCUCAGUUGGUUAAGGAUCCGGUGUUGCUGUGAGCUGUGGCAUAGGUCACAGGUAUGGCUGGGAUCUGGCGUUGCCGUGGCUGUGAUGUAGGCUGGCAGCUACAGCUGUGGUUCCACCCCUACCCUGGGAGCUUCAAUAUGCUGUAGGUGUGGCCCUAAAAAAUGAAAAAUAUAAAAUAAAGGAAAGAAACACAGAAAACACAGGAGAGCCUUCAGGGUGGGGGUGGUAAUGCACCUUACCUUGAAAAUUGCCUGGAGACAGAUGACCCGUCAUGCCCUCUGCUUCCACACGAGGCACCCUUACAGGGUCCCAGCCAGUGUGCUGCUCUUCUUCGUGGUCUGUGUGAGGAUGACUUGACCAGAACCUCACCAGGAGGCAGCUUUUUACACCAAGCCUGAAACUCGGAGGAGACACAGGGAGAAAUGCCCAUUACUGAAGAACUCCAAGAAGAGAGUUGGCGGUGGCUGCCUCCUGUGGUUGAGCAGGCAGAUGCUGCCAAGUACUGAGCAAGCACCAUGGGACCAUGGCUGAGACCGGAGACGUGUCCUCAGGACUGAGUCUAGUCCAGGUGGGACCCAUGGAGGACAAGAGAGAGCCUGUGCUCACAGGCUGGUUUGGAAGCCUUUGGCACAAGCCCCAGUCAAGGUCAUGGGCUAGUCUGGAGGCCUUUUGUGCAAGCCCUGAGCAAGCUUAAGGUCUGGUCUGGAGGGCUUUUUUGCAAGCCUCUCAUUUUGCCGAUGAAGAAGCUGGGGCCCCCCAGGCACUGGUUAUGCUGGUCAGCAUCAGGUCAGAGGCCAGGUCAGAAUGCUUAGCAAUGCCCCUUCUGUCUUCUUGGGAGGUUCACGACCAAGCUGUUAGGUUCUUGACCCAGGCUGUGUUGGGAGCCUUGUACACACAACCCCCACCCCAGAGAUUCUGCCUCAGCCGGUCUGCCGUGGACUGGAGGUUCUGUUUUUAAACUUCAUGGAUGAUUUUGUUUGUUUGUUUGUUUUUUGUCUUUAGGGCUGCACCGGCGGCAUAUGGAGGUUCCCAGGCUAGGGUGUAAUCAGAGCUGUAGCCACCGGCCUACGCCAGAGCCACUGCAACGUCAGAUCCGAGCCGCAUCUGUGACCUACACCACAGCUCACGGCACUGCCGGAUCCUUAAGUGAGCCAGGCCAGGAUUCGAACCCGCAACCUCAUGGUUCCUAGUCAGAUUUGUUUCCGCUGCGCCACCAUGGGAACUCCUUCAUGGGUGAUUUUAACGUGUGGCCAGGCUUGAAAACCACAUACUUGGGUACAGACCAAAAGGCCAGCCAGUGAAACCAGAGAGAAGGCAGCAACACUGAGUGACUGCUGUGGGCACAGCAGGGUCUGGGGUAUUUUGAUGCAUUUUGGGGAUACGCAAACAUGUAAGCCACAGUUUCUGCCUUCAAGGACCUUGAAGCUUGUGGUUUAUUUGGGAGGGAGAGAAGGCAAGCGUGACAACCCAGUCACAUGAGAUCUGGGUUAUAGUCAAAUUCCUGUGUUUUUUGCCUGCUUAUCCUUGAGGAGGCAAGCAUGUCACAUGAGACGCUAUUGACAGGUAACACACAUGAUGUCUGUGAAAUAAAAUAAGAUCCUAAACACAGCAGCAACCAGAGUUUCGGCGAGGUCUCCCCGUGCUGUUCUCAGCGCUCUUCUGCUCAGUCUUGGCUCCUUACUAUUCGAGUCUCAAUUCCAAUGUCAUCGCUUCAGAAAGGCGCUCUUUUGUCUCCUCCGCUCUCCUUCCCUCUCCACCACAUGGCGCUGCUAGAUUCUCUUUAUAGCACUCGUUCCCACUGGAGUCUUAUUUCUUUGCUUAUGUGUUGAUUUUCCCUCUCUUCCCACGGCAAUAUAAGUGUCAUAAGCAUGGGGAUCCCAGAGUUCCCUGGUGGCACAGUGGGUUAAGGAUCCAGCAUUGUCGCUACUGUGGCUCAGGUUGCUGCUGUGGCGCGUGGGUUCGAUCCCUGGCAGGAAAUUUCACAUGAAGUUUUUGGUACAGCCAGAAGAAAAAAAAAAAAAAAAAAGAAUGGGGAUCCAGGCUUUUUCAGGCCCUACUAUGUUCUAGUGUUCUAGUACCCAGAACGGAACCUGGCACAUAGUAGGUGCUUCAUCAAUGCGUGUUGCCUGAAUUGUCAAGGAAGGGAGCUUGUGAUGAGGGUAGCGUGUGAGCUGGCCCUAAACUUGGGUCUCCCUUGGAAGGAAUGGGGGAGACGUGGGGGCGUGUCAAUCUGGGGGCGGGGCCUGGGUGGAAUGUCCACGGGCACCCAACAAGGGUGUGUGUGAGCGUGCCAGGGGAAUGGUGGGGAGUGAUGGGUCAGAUUGGUUGUGGGGUGUGCGCUAAAGGACGCAGAGGGAGAUAUGGCUGGGAAGGGGGUCUGAGCUUGUUCAUGAGGCCAAGGAUGCCUGCCUGGGAAGUAUGGCCUGUGUCCCAUGGAUGGUGGGACACAUGGAGGACAAACAAGGGUCACUGGUUAGCAGCAUCCAGGAGUUUGAGGUCGAGAGAGCAGCUGGGACCCCUGUAUCAGCAGACGAUGACAUAAGGAAGAAAGUCUUUGCCCCGCUGUCCCCGUGUGCCUGGUAGCCUAAAGCAGGCUUGGAGCCCUCUUCCUGGGCGCUGGACCUCCGCUGUGUGGUGUCACUGGUCUUGCUGGAGAGCAGUGCCCGUGAAGGAUGGGGUGCUGUGAGGCAGGAGGCUGUGUGGAUGGGCUGGCACUGCGCCCUCACUGCUGUCACUGAGUGACUCAGAUCCCCUCCUGGCACGAGCCUGCACCCGCAGUGCAAGCUGUUCCUUGGCUCCCGGAGGCUGGGCUGCCUCGCUUCUCCCCCAGGACUGAGGCCAGGCAGGGGGGUGCUUGUGUGCUUCCACCCCCUUCCCUUCUCCGGGCUCAGGGGUGGGAGAGGAGGAGGUGGGGUGGGUUCUGGGCUCUGGGUGCCCUCCCUGCCAUACCUCCCAGCCAUCCUGAGUCUUGCUUAGCACAGCAGGACACCAGGAAGGCUGGACAGGUGACCAGGUGAUACAGGGCUUGCACAGAAGGCUUUCCUGAAAAGUUACCACCAAAAACUGGGUCAGGUGGACACAUGCUGAGGGAACAGUAAUGGCUAGGAGGAGGGACGUGGCCUGAGGUCCUACAGCUAUCUGUGCAACUGAGAGUCUGCAGAAUAUCCUCCAUGUCCGUGUCUUCAUAGCCACCCUGGGAGCAAAGGGUAUUCUUAUUUAUUUAUUUUUUCUGAAGCUCAGAGAGACUAAGGCACUUGCUGAAGGUCACGCAGAGGUUGAAAGGCAACCCUGAGAACUCUAACCUGAGUCUCCUACUUAUAAGAGUUUUAGUAAACCAUAUCCUUGUGUCACUUUCCCUGGACUCUGAGAUGUGAGCACUGGCCGGAUUUGAACCUUC
rnacentral:lncRNA from 1 species